rnacentral:misc_RNA from 1 species
AAGUCGUAACAAGGUUUCCGUAGGUGAACCUGCGGAAGGAUCAUUACCAAAUCCAAAUUCAACCACUUGUGAACUUGUCUUGUAUUGUCUUUUGGGAGGUUAGUCAGGUAGUUUACUGCCUGCUCUCAAACAUGCAUUAAUUUGUAUGAUUGGGAGCCUCCCAUUAGGCGCGUGUGUGUUGCUUGCUGCAAAGCAAACAAUACCACAAAAAACAUAAACCACAAUUCAAAUUUUUUCAUUUGGUUUUUUUAUUCAAAAAACAAAAUGACAACUUUUAACGGUGGAUCUCUUGGCUCAU